rnacentral:misc_RNA from 1 species
UAGAAGCCUUAUUUACAGUUGAGAAUGACAAAGAAUCUGAGUCGAUCCUCAAAAAGUUGAAUGGUGCUAUUGUUGGUGGUCAUUGCCUAUCAGCUUCUUUAGUACCUAGCAACUCAUCAUCUGCUUCCAUGUCUGAAAAUAAGGAUGAUAGAUGCAGGAUGGCUUUACAAAUUAACAACUACUUGACAGAACUCAAAAUGCAACUUGAGGAAAAGGAAAUGGAUUGGCUUGAAUUGUCGGUGCUGAAAUCGUGUAUGGAGGAUCUUCAGAUGCUGCAUGAGGAGAUAAUGCACCUUGAAGAUCUGCCUUCCAUCAUCGAUUCAUCUGACAAUUGAUUCUUGAUUUUCAAAACUUCUCUAUUCAAGUAUCUUCACUUGCUAACAACAGGAUAA